GCACAGCAGCUGCUGGCCCAGGUGCUAAGCCCCUCACUGCCUGGGGCUGGCGGGGCCGGCAGGCCGCUCCGAGUGCGGGCCCGCCGAGCCUACGCCCACCCGGAACUCGCGCUGGCCCGGAAGCACCGCGCGCAGCCCCGGUUCCGGCCCGCGCCUCUCCCUCCACACCUCCCCACAAGCUGAGGGAGCCGGCUGCGGCCUUCGCCAGCCCAGAAAGGGGCUCCUACAGUGCAGUGGCGGGCUGAAGGGCUGCUCAAGCGCCGCCAAAGUGGGAGCCCAGGCAGAGGAGGCGCCCAGAGCGAGCGAGGGCUGUGAGGACUGCCAGCACGCUGUCACCUCUCACUCAUAUAGAUUGCCAAUCUAUUUGUGAACCAGGUUUGCUGGAGUUUGGAUUUACUACUGAGUCAUAUUUGGAGCAUGCUGGAAUCUUACAACUGAGAUUACCGAGUCAGAAACUUGCAAACAUGAGUAACAUGGCCCUGCUCUGGAGACUACUGGGAACACAAACACAGCCAUUUAAGACAUCUACCUGCUUCUCCUUUGCCUUCCAUCAUGACUGAAAGUUGUCUGAGGUCUCCCAGCCACGUGUCCUGUACAGCCUGUGGAACUGUGGUACAGUUGAAGAAAGAGCUCAACUCUGGCAAAGGGAGACCAAGAGUAACCUCUGGUGUGGAAGUUGGCUGAGCACUCAGUGCCUGACUGUGCUAUACUCCUGUUGGACAUGAGCUGUCUCUCAGAACACCAAUUCAGACAAGGUUACUCCAAGACUAUGAUACAAUAAAGCAAAGCAAGGAUACUUCGUAAUUUUGUGGAAGCACAGACAAAAUCAAUAUCAGUAUGCCACCUACAAAAGACCAAACAGCCCUUCUCUUGGCCAAAAUGAGUGAUGUCUACUUCUUUACUAAUGAAGUUUUAUUUUUGUUCUAGUCAGCUCUCCAUCCAGAUGAGAUUUUUUGAGAUACCCAAUCUUAUAAUUGCCUCCAGCUUUCUGACAGCAUCUAAUUUUGGCAAACUCUCCCCUCCUUCUGUCCUCUCCCAAAUGACCUAACCUAAACCCCAAAUCUACAGAAAGUUAUUUCUAUUACCAUCUUACUGAGACACCCCAUGAUUCCUCAUGAUAUGUGUUAUUUGUCUGUGCAACAGGUAAUAAAUUGAACUUGUUCACUA
rnacentral:lncRNA from 1 species